UUGGGUUAGAAGAAAUUGAGUUAGUAAACUAGAAGUUUUCUUGUUCCAACUUUUAAAGUUAUGUUUCAACGGUUAUGAAAAAAAAGAGUUAUUGGUCUGGUGAUUAAGAGUUAGUGAGUUCAUCCUUGAAACCCAAGUUUGAAUCCAUUCCCUCGCAUCAUUCUUAUUCAGCUGAGCUUUGAGUGCUGCCCCAAACACUGUGUCUCUCUCCAACAUUGUUGUGUCGUCACUUCGCCUGUAUUUUUCCAAUCAUAUUACUAAUAUUUUUAAUCAUUAAGCCCUAAAACCCUCCUUUGUGUCGCCCAAAAAUCAGCCUCUUCUUGAUGUCAUUAAACCUCCAUUGUCGCCCUUCUCCUCCACUCGUGGUAGUGCCUGCUUGUUCCAUUUUCCAUCUCAGUUCUUUUUCUUCUAUUGUCAAUUAUUGUUGAUGUUUUUACAGCCAAUUUAUUACUGUUUUCAUCCUCUAAAAGUCAUCCCCAUUGCUACCAAAAAUCCUUCCUUAUGCCGAUCCUAAAUCGAUCUCUUUGUUGCCGCAGUUGGAAGCGUUGCUACCCUUAGAGCACCAUUGUUUUGGCUGUUGUUUUUCUUUCCAUUUGUUGCACAUCCUUGCUGUCAUUUUUGUCACUUUUUCCUUGUUUAAACAGCCCAUCACCUUGUUGUUUUAGUGCGCAUUCGAUUUCAUUUAAAUCAUCGUCAUAGAUCUAGUCUUCAGGAAGCGAUCAAAUCUAAACUCCUCUGGUCAGCAAUGACGACAAACCUAAUUCACAUUUUCGUUUAGUAGCGAAAAAGUAUUCGUUCGUUUUAAGUUGUGGGAAAUUGCGAAUUCACAACUGGCGUUGCAGACUUGCGUAAUUUAGGUAUUGGAUAUUGGUGGCUUGACCACAUCAUUGACAACAUCGUCUGUAUUUUAUUGGCAGCUUGUUUGCAUUAUUGGUGGUUUACCACAAUUUGUUAUUGACAAUUUAUCUGCAUAUCUGGUAGCUCUUCCACAUUACCGAUAGCUUGUCUGCAAACUGUUAUUAGUGGUUUAUCCACACUAAGCUAUAGCUCCUAAUUAUUUUGGUGAUUUAGUAGACGGGUUUUGAGGAACUCGUUGUGUGUAGCUGAUGGAUGGGUAAAACCUUAUUGUAUUGUCAUUCUUGAGCAUGCUUAUGCAUAACGGUUGAAGGCAUCAUGAUUCUAUGAA